GGGGGUAUGGCUCAAGGUAGAGUGUGUGCUUGUGGUGCAUGAGGUCCUGGGUUCAAUCCCCAGUGCCUCUG
rnacentral:tRNA from 1 species